AUUGAACGCUGGCGGCAGGCCUAACACAUGCAAGUCGAGCGAGUGGCGGACGGGUGAGUAAUGUAUGGGGAUCUGCCCGAUAGAGGGGGAUAACUACUGGAAACGGUGGCUAAUACCGCAUACUAUCGGAUGAGCCGAUAUGGGAUUAGCUAGUAGGUGGGGUAAAGGCUCACCAAGGCGACGAUCCGUAGCUGGUCUGAGAGGAUGACCAGCCACACUGGGACUGAGACACGGCCCAGACUCCUACGGGAGGCAGCAGUGGGGAAUAUUGGACAAUGGGGGAAAGCCUGAUGCAGCCAUGCCGCGUGUAUGAAGAAGGCCUUCGGGUUGUAAAGUACUUUUGGCAGGGAGGCGUUACCCGCAGAAGAAGCACCGGCUAACUCCGUGCCAGCAGCCGCGGUAAUUC
rnacentral:rRNA from 1 species